UACGGGGGAUGCAAGCGUUAUCCGGAUUUAUUGGGUUUAAAGGGUGCGUAGGCUGUGAGGUAAGUCAGCGGUGAAAUGCCCCCGCUCAACGGGGUGAAGUGCCAUUGAUACUGCCUUGCUGGAAUGCGGAUGCCGUGGGAGGAAUGUGUGGUGUAGCGGUGAAAUGCUUAGAUAUCACACAGAACACCGAUUGCGAAGGCAUCUCACGAAUCCGCGAUUGACGCUGAUGCACGAAAGCGUGGGUAUCAAACAGG
rnacentral:rRNA from 1 species